CGGACGAACGCUGGCGGCGUGGAUUAGGCAUGCAAGUCGAACGGUAUCAUCCUUUCGGGGGUGAGAGAGUGGCGAACUGGUGAGUAACACGUAGGUUAUCUACCCUCAAGACGGGACAACCCAGGGAAACUUGGGCUAAUACCGGAUGUGAGCAACUUUUAGUUGUUUGAAAGGUGGCGUAAGCUGUCGCUUGGGGAUGAGCCUGCGUCCUAUUAGUUAGUUGGUGAGGUAACGGCUCACCUAGGCAAUGAUAGGUAGGCGGCCUUAACGGGUGGUCGCCCACACUGGGAUUGAGAUACGGCCCAGACUCCUACGGGAGGCAGCAGUCGAGAAUAGUCUACAAUGGUCGGAAGACUGAUAGUGCGACGCCGCGUGAACGAUGAAUCCCUUCGGGGUGUAAAGUUCUUUUAUAUGUGAGCAGUGCUUCUUAUAUUAACAGUAUGGGGAGAGAGAUAUUAGCAUAUGAAUAAGCAACGGCUAACUCCGUG
rnacentral:rRNA from 1 species